GCAAGCAGAUAUCAGGAUGAUGUCUCUUCUGAAAGGACUACGCUGGAGUGGCGCUGCAGGGAAGUGCUUCAGGACGAAGCGAAGGACCAGCGCGGGAUAAGCGUUAAAGGACACCUCCAGGAUGGAGAAUGAGAGCCGGACGGGACAGAAGGCGGAUCAUGAAGAUCACAACGUGCGUCAGGAUGGCGUAACGUACAUCAGGAUGAUGAGCAGGAAGCAAGUGCGAAGGACAGCGAGCCAGGAAGGUCAAAGGAAAAGUUGUCACGGAUGAGCAGGGAGCACUGAAGGUAGCUGGAUUGCUGCAAAACGAACCGGAGGGCGCUGAUUUUUCAGCGCCCUCCCUUUUUU
rnacentral:other from 1 species